rnacentral:rRNA from 1 species
GAUGAACGCUGGCGGUCUGCUUAACACAUGCAAGUCGAACGCAGCCUUCGGGUUGAGUGGCGGACGGGUGAGUAACGCGUGAGAAUCUGCCUUGGGGUCGGGGACAACCACUGGAAACGGUGGCUAAUACCGGAUACGCCUUCGGGUAAAAGAUUUAUUGCCCUAAGAGGAGCUCGCGUCUGAUUAGCUAGUUGGUGAGGUAAGAGCUCACCAAGGCAGCGAUCAGUAGCUGGUCUGAGAGGACGAUCAGCCACACUGGGACUGAGACACGGCCCAGACUCCUACGGGAGGCAGCAGUGGGGAAUUUUCCGCAAUGUGCGAAAGCCUGACGGAGCAAGACCGCGUGAGGGAGGAAGGCUCUUGGGUUGUAAACCUCUUUUCUCAGGGAAGAAGCUCUGACGGUACCUGAGGAAUCAGCCUCGGCUAACUCCGUGCCAGCAGCCGCGGUAAUACGGAGGAGGCAAGCGUUAUCCGGAAUUAUUGGGCGUAAAGCGUCCGCAGGUGGCGAUUCAAGUCUGCUGUCAAAGCACGGGGCUUAACUCCGUAAAGGCAGUGGAAACUGAAUAGCUAGAGUGCCGUAGGGGUAGAGGGAAUUCCCGGUGUAGCGGUGAAAUGCGUAGAGAUCGGGAAGAACAUCGGUGGCGAAAGCGCUCUACUGGACGGCAACUGACACUCAGGGACGAAAGCUAGGGGAGCGAAUGGGAUUAGAUACCCCAGUAGUCCUAGCUGUAAACGAUGGAUACUAGGUGUAGCUUGUAUCGACCCGAGCUGUGCCGAAGCUAACGCGUUAAGUAUCCCGCCUGGGGAGUACGCACGCAAGUGUGAAACUCAAAGGAAUUGACGGGGGCCCGCACAAGCGGUGGAGUAUGUGGUUUAAUUCGAUGCAACGCGAA